GACGAACGCUGGCGGCGUGCUUAACACAUGCAAGUCGAACGAAGUGGCGAACGGGUGAGUAAUACGUGGGUAACCUGCCCUCCUUUUUUGGAUAAGCCUUGGCAACGGGGUCUAAUACUGAAUAAAGGGGGAUGGGCUCGUGGCCUAUCAGCUUGUUGGUGGGGUGAUGGCCUAACAAGGCGUUGACGGGUAGCCGGACUGAGAGGGCGAACGGCAACAUAGGGACUGUGAAACGUCCCAGGCGACGACGGGGUGCAGCAGUGUGGGAUAUUGCACAAAGCGCGACAGACUGAUGCAGCGUGGCCGCGUGGGGGAUGAAGGCUGUCGGGUUGUAAUACUAUUUCGGUAUAGAACGGGUAGGUGGUGAGGAAGCGCCGGCUAACUACGUGCCAGCAGCCGCGGUAAUUC
rnacentral:rRNA from 1 species